rnacentral:rRNA from 1 species
AUUGAACGCUGGCGGCAUGCCUUACACAUGCAAGUCGAACGGGUGGCGGACGGGUGAGUAAUGUCUGGGCAACUGCCCGAGGGAGGGGUAUAACUACUGGAAACGGUAGCUAAUACCGCAUACCAUCGGAUGUGCCCAGAUGGGAUUAGCUAGUGGGUGGGGUAAUGGCUCACCUAGGCGACGAUCCCUAGCUGGUCUGAGAGGAUGACCAGCCACACUGGAACUGAGACACGGUCCAGACUCCUACGGGAGGCAGCAGUGGGGAAUAUUGCACAAUGGGCGAAAGCCUGAUGCAGCCAUGCCGCGUGUGUGAAGAAGGCCUUCGGGUUGUAAAGUACUUUCAGCGGGGAAGCGUUACUCGCAGAAGAAGCACCGGCUAACUCCGUGCCAGCAGCCGCGGUAAUAC